UGGUUCAGUGCUAGAAUUCUCGCCUUCCAUGCGGGAGACCUGGGUUCGAUUCCCAG
rnacentral:tRNA from 1 species